rnacentral:sRNA from 1 species
AUUUUGUUAUUUUGUGACUUUUCUAAAUGUAUGAACUUAAAAAUGCUUUAGACACUCAAAUCUCUUGGGGCGGCUCUUACCACAUGAGAUGGAAAUUUAAGAUUAAGAGU